CAGCCGCCGCGGGAAUACGGAGGGUGCAAGCGUUAAUCGGAAUUACUGGGCGUAAAGCGUGCGUAGGCGGCUUUUUAAGUCGGAUGUGAAAUCCCUGAGCUUAACUUAGGAAUUGCAUUCGAUACUGGGAAGCUAGAGUAUGGGAGAGGAUGGUAGAAUUCCAGGUGUAGCGGUGAAAUGCGUAGAGAUCUGGAGGAAUACCGAUGGCGAAGGCAGCCAUCUGGCCUAAUACUGACGCUGAGGUACGAAAGCAUGGGGAGCAAACAGGAUUAGAUACCCGAGUAGUCCCUGUCUCUUAUAA
rnacentral:rRNA from 1 species